rnacentral:lncRNA from 1 species
UUUUUAUUUGGUAGAAUUGAUUUCCUUUCUCCAUAUACUUUCACUUGUCACUAUUCAUGACUUGUGAAUAGACCCUCUCUUCUCUUUGUACAUUCCUUUAUGAGCCAACUUCUAUUCUUUUAAACAAACAAAAUACACAUUAAUAAAAAUUAUUGAAGAUGGCGUUCAUGAAAAUGCUUGCUUUAGAUUAGUUUUUCUAACACAAAAUUCUGCACUUCAUACAUCUAUGAAGAAAUAUCAAAUUAUCACUAUUAGUGAAACAAAAAUUCCUCAGGUGACUAACUCUAGCCCCAUCUUAUCACAUACACACUCUAAAAGCAAAUUUAAUCUUUAGCUGCCUUUUUUACCUAUAGAAUAAGGAAAUGGGAUCUUUAUUUCACAGCUCCUAAGAUAAUGUCUCAGUUAUUAAAAUUAAAAAAAAAAAAAAAAACGUAAAGCCCCUCCUUAAGAGUUAUAGGAAAAUUGGCCUUCUUAAAUGCUGGCUAGCUGGAGGAACCCUCCUUCUACACUAACGUGAAAAUUGAGUCUUCUUGGAGCAGAGUUUCAUUGUAAUAACUAGGAAAGUUUGAUGCUUAUAAAAUGUCCUUGUGUUCCAAAUAUUAUUAGUGAAUAUUGUUUCAAACUGAUGAUGGAAAACCUGGGAAUAUAAGUGCAGAGCCAGAGCACAAAUCAAGCUUUCUGGUUGGACAAGCCCCUGUUGUGUGCAAAUAAUAACACUCGCCACGGGCCCCUGUCGCAGACUUCAGGGAACAGGUAAAGCUACACUGAGAUUCAUUACUCUAGCUGUGAUCACUGUCUUCUCUUUCUAAUUUAUCAGGUUACUUUUCCUGGUAUGGGAGUUGUUAGGUUUUUCUGAAGUAUAUAUUCCAGUUCCUGACAUCUUAUGUCAAGUAUGAAACAGUUGAACUAAUUUAUUUCUCUCUUUUUUUUUUUUUUCCAUGAACAUGAGGUACAACAGAAUAAAUACCUGGGCAAACCCAAAGAGAUCUUAAUACUUUUUUAAGCUGCAUUGUGCUGACAAAUCAACCGUCAAAAGCAUAAUAUUCCAUCAUGUAAGAGUUCACCUGCACAAAAUAAUGAUGUAUUUUACAGAAGACUAUGGCCCAAAUUUUUAAAUACUUAUACAUACAUCUAAAAUUUUAUUUUCUAAGCUUUAAGUGACUUGAAAGUAAUUACCUCAGGGAAGUCUGAACUAUCAGGAAGAGGAAACACUGGUUUGACUGACCUAAAAAUUAGAUUUAGUAUGUAUUUCCUGCAGUUUGGGUAUGUUAGUCAAGCAUCUUGAGUCUC